AUUGAACGCUGGCGGCAUGCCUUACACAUGCAAGUCGAACGGUAACAGGUCUUCGGAUGCUGACGAGUGGCGAACGGGUGAGUAAUACAUCGGAACGUGCCCGAGAGUGGGGGAUAACGAAGCGAAAGCUUUGCUAAUACCGCAUACGAUCUCAGGAUGAAAGCAGGGGACCGCAAGGCCUUGCGCUCACGGAGCGGCCGAUGGCAGAUUAGGUAGUUGGUGGGAUAAAAGCUUACCAAGCCGACGAUCUGUAGCUGGUCUGAGAGGACGACCAGCCACACUGGGACUGAGACACGGCCCAGACUCCUACGGGAGGCAGCAGUGGGGAAUUUUGGACAAUGGGGGCAACCCUGAUCCAGCAAUGCCGCGUGCAGGAAGAAGGCCUUCGGGUUGUAAACUGCUUUUGUACGGAACGAAAAGGCUCUGGUUAAUACCUGGGGCACACGACGGUACCGUAAGAAUAAGCACCGGCUAACUACGUGCCAGCCGCCGCGGUAAUAC
rnacentral:rRNA from 1 species